UUAUUUGGUUUGUAUUUUUUUCCUUUUAGGAAGUGCUGAUUCUUGGUGCUAUUGUGCUUUUGGUUCUCCUCAUGAUUCCAGUAGUAUUGCUAAUAAGAAGUAAAAAGAUUAGAAAAUACCACAUUGACGAAACCAAAAGCUUAAACACACGUGAAGAACCUGAACAAACACCUGCAGAAACAGGAGGAGAGAAUGGAAUGUUUCCUCUGUAGCAGUCACAUUUUUACAUUCAAAUCUAGCUACAAAUUCAAGAUCCAUGAAUGGAAGCAUUUAAGAAGAAGCAUUCCUGAAUGAUAGAUUCCAUAACUUAUGCUGAUCACCCUAUUGCAUCUAUUGGUCUAUUUUCCAUCUGGUAGUAAUCUGCUAUUUCAGCAGUUACUAAUAAUGUUAAACUCUAUUACUUAAACAUUUUCUUCCUCAAAUUUUUAGCUGUUUAUGCUAGUUCUUUUACAAGUAAUCAUGCUAGUGAUUAAUAUGUAAAGAAGCAUUGCCGAAUUAUUAUUGGUAAAGGUAGUAGCACCGUAUUUAGACAAUUUAUAUACAGCACUGCUUAAUUACAGCAAUCUCUAAGUUGUGUACAAGGAAUGCAAUACAAUAAAAAUUAAAAUUGCUUAAAAAUUAAAACAUCUCUUAAACAUGUUUAAAAUAAAUCAAAUCCUUAAGUAAACUAUUCUUGUAUAGCCUAAUGAUGAGGACUUGUGCCUUGUGCAGACUGCCCCAGAAAUGCAAGCGAGAAAUGCUCUCUUCCAUGUGUUUGAGCUAUCUCAUGUUUGAUUUUUUGUUUUAGCUCAUGAACAAUAUUUGCACUUUAAAGAGUUUGAUACUCUAACAGCACAAGCCUACAUGUGUACUUAUAAUUCUUAGUUUAAUAUGUAGGUGUACAUAGAACUGCAGCUUCAGUGACCUGAUCAGUUAUUGUGAACCAUCUAGGCUCUGUAUUUUAGUAGAUUCAGUGUGGCCAUUGCCUUCAGUUUAUUCAGUCAUUUUCUUUGGAGCAAGCAUGUCCAUCAGAAUGUUGCACACUGCCACAAUAAAUGGAAAUACAUGCCUUUCUGUUCUUUUACAGCAUUUUGCAGACAGAUUGGGGUUAAUGUUUGAAAAAAAAUUACAAGUGUAUA